ACUUCGAAAAGUGAAAAAAGCCCCACAGCUUUAGAAUAUAUUUGGCAGGAGCAAAAUUCUUUCUAGACAUUAAGAUAAAGUCCAUGCUUAAUUUCCUCUUGAACACUAAAGGUUUUGCAGGUUUUGCAGGCUUUGCAUAGAGUAGAUUUUAGGCCUGUGUGCAGCCACGGACAUACACGCCCUUGACUUUGUCUCGGCGCCCAUGUCCGCACGGCGUGGUCCUCAAGGCCGCUGUGUCCCUGGACAUGCAGCCUGCCAAGUUCCCUGGUGUCCAGCUGUGCUCCCUGUUCUCGCCUUCUCCUCUGUUCUGCACGUUGCUGGAAGGUCUGCCGGUGUUUCCCUAUCAAGCCUGUGGAGGAACAUAAACAUUUCGCCUUUUCUGGACGAGACUUCCAGAAUGUAGCUCCGAAGAAAGAAAAGGCAGCUACACGUUGUUUGCCUGCAGCCUGGUUGGCUGUUUAUGUCUACACAAAGCAUUUGCCCCAGAAGGGACCGCGUACAGCUCUAGGCAUCCAAGAAAACAAAGCAUCUCAACAUCAGGGCUCCUGCACCCCCCCCCCCACUGCCGCCCCGGGGCAGCCAGACCAAGAAUGGGAGUGGAUCCUUGACUGGAAAGCUCCAAAUUGGAGCCCCGAAGGUUCUGCCCUGGGUUCCUGGAGAUGGUGGUUUGUGGAUCUGGAAGUCCUGUCUGGCUUCCGACGAGUCCUUUGUAGUUAUGCUACCCAUUCCAAGUUUUUAAAAUAAGGGUUAUUAGCAGAUGAUUCCAAAAGGAAACUUCUGGAAGCUGAUAAAAAUGGACUCCUUUAGGCUCUGAGGAAGAAUGGGGGUUUGCGCUGUUAUUCCUCCACAGAGCCUUUUACAGAGGCAUGGUGACAUUUUAAAAGGCAAGGCAGGGUCUAGAGAGCAUGAUUGUGAAAGAUGCUUGCUGCCUUGAACACAGUAAGGCAAACGAAGUGCCGGAUGCUGCGCCGCCCGUGCUCCCACCCCCAUCUCCCUUCCCUCUUUCCCAGUUUCCUGGCCAGCUUAAAUCAUCCUGGUUGUUGCUGUCUCCAGGGGUUAAAUUUCUGACUGCAAAUAAAAGGUUUCUCUCUCAGGGCUACUGCUUUGGGUCAUCUCAGCCUAUCAAUAGAAAUACUAUCAGCCAAGAAUGCCUGGGGCG